CCCUUAGAUGUUCUGGGCCGCACGCGCGCUACAAUGAUGAAUUCAACGAGUUUAUAACCUUGGUUGAAAAGCCUGGGUAAUCUUUUGAACUUUCGUCGUGAUGGGGCUAGACCCUUGCAAUUAUUGGUCUCCAACGAGGAAUUCCUAGUAAACGCAAGUCAUCAGCUUGCAUUGAUUACGUCCCUGCCCUUUGUACACACCGCCCGUCGCACCUACCGAUUGAGUGUUCCGGUGAAUUAUUCGGACUGCAACAGUUAUCUGUCGCGGAAAGUCUUGUGAACCUUAACACUUAGAGGAAGGAAAAGUCGUAACA
rnacentral:rRNA from 1 species